rnacentral:lncRNA from 10 species
GCCGGCUCCACACCCCACCCGCCCCGCCCGCGCUCGGCCCCCACAGUCGCUUGGGGGUGGCCCGGAGGGUUGAGGUGCUCGCAGUGGAGCCCUGGCCCCCGGGCCGACGGAGCUGCACGGUAGUAGAUGGGGGUGUGGCCGUGGCCCCGACUCUGCUCGGCGGGGCCGUUCCUGCCUUGCUGUCCGUGUGGGACUUGCACGACACCCCGUAUGCUGCUUGCCCUGCUUGGGAAAGAGGCGGCUGCUGGAAAGGACCGAUCGGCGGGCACGCCAGCCCGGCCCACCCCUCGCCUCCAUGUGGGUCAGGCUUCUCAUCGCAGCAUGCUUUGGCCCAGUGUCCGUGGUCCUGACCCUGCUCCGGAAGUGUCUGCAGAGCAUCUGUGCCCCCCGCCCCUCCCCGGGCCCAGCUGUGUGCAGCUCCUGUCCUACCCAGCACAAGCACUCGACCCGGGUAGCUCCCAGUGUCGGGGUCCUGUUCAUCAAAUGCCUUCCAAUUGCACAGGUCACUCUACAACUCCCCAAUCAUUCCCCCAUCUCCUCUGGCCCCUUGGGCCUGCUCUCCACUCCCCUGGCUUCUGCCCCUCGGCACAGAGCAUCCCUGAAGUCCAUGGAUGGAGUCAGGUACUCAGUCAAUCCCCAAGACACAGAAUCCUGAGGUCCAGGCUGCAGGGAGUUUGGCCAGAGGACACCAGGGCUGGCUGUCAUCACAUGUCACAAGUACAUCAGGGUGUGAGUGACUGCCACUCCUGGACAGAGACUGCCUCCCUUCCUUGUCUGUCUGCUCCUGCUCAAGCCCCUUCUCCCUGGCCUCCCUCUCUAUCCUUCCCUUCCUGAAACCCCUCCUGCCAUCUCUCUGUCCCCCCCUUGUCAGCUGACUUCUGAGCUGUGUAUACAGUCUGGGCUUGGGUCAAGGCCAAGGGCAGCAACAGCCCAGAAAGAGUAAAGUGCCCGGUGCCUGGGGAGAAGGGCUGGCUGAGGGGCGAGUGCACAGGGCUCCACCCCCUGGCCACGGUUGGGGAGAGACACUGGCUGCCAUUGAGCUACCCUUCUGGACCCCAGUUCUGACCUCUGCCCCUCCUUCCAGAUCUGCUCUUGGCUUCAGGCAGUCAGCUGGAGCCCCCUGCCAGGAGGAGGGGUUUGUCUGAGUUCCUGUAGUUCCCGCUUCUGUGCAGCCUGCUGGGCAGGGGGCUGGGAGGGAGGAAAAGGAAGCAGGGCCUAGGGAAGCCCCAGGUUCUGCAAAGAGCUCAUGUCAGGGAGAAAAGUAAGGUCUGCCCAGAAACCUCGGGGCUUUCAGAGUUCAGGGAUUUUGUAGGCCGUGGGCCUGUUUGUCAGAAUGGGACAGGGGUGGUUUCCUUUCCUGCUCCGUGUGUGUGUGUGUGUGGGGUGUGUGUGUGGGUGUAUGUGUGUGUGUGGGGUGUGUGUGUGGUGUAUGUGUGUGUGGGGGGGGUGUGUGUGUGUGUUUGGGGGGGUGGGUGUGUGUGUGUGGGGUGUGUGUGUGUGUUUGGGGGGGUGGGUGUGUGUGGGGGGUGUGUGUGUGUGGGGGGGUGGGUGUGUGGGGUAUGUGUGUGGGGAGGGUGGGUGUGUGGG